AAGAGAUUGUGAGUCCUUCGGGACGCGGUGACAGGUGCUGCAUGGCUGUCGUCAGCUCGUGUCGUGAGAUGUUGGGUUAAGUCCCGCAACGAGCGCAACCCUCGUCCUUAGUUGCCAUCAUUUGGUUGGGCACUCUAAGGAAACUGCCGGUGAUAAGCCGGAGGAAGGUGGGGAUGACGUCAAGUCCUCAUGGCCCUUACACGCUGGGCUACACACGUGCUACAAUGGCGGUGACAGUGGGCAGCAAGCGCGCGAGCGUGAGCUAAUCUCCAAAAGCCGUCUCAGUUCGGAUUGUUCUCUGCAACUCGAGAGCAUGAAGGCGGAAUCGCUAGUAAUCGCGGAUCAGCAUGCCGCGGUGAAUACGUUCCCAGGCCUU
rnacentral:rRNA from 1 species